AUUGGAAGCAAAAAAUUGAACCAAAGCAGUUCAUACAUCUCCAAGAAAGAAGCUGAAGGAUAAUAUGCAGCAGCAAAAUGAGCACUUAUCUUUCUUCAAUAAAUGGGUAUCAGUACAAUUGAGUGACAUGGGUCCAGCUACCACCUGUCCAGAAGUGAUGUUUCUUCUCCAGCUGACCAUCCAAACCGAAUCCUCAGUGCUAUACUGUGGCACUGCAGCCACUACAAUGACUUCACUCACAAUCUAUUCUUCAUGAAGGAUUAACUGCUAGAGAAACCCACCAAGGAGGAUAGUAAAUUUUCCAGCUCUGGUAUUUUCCAAUUAAGUUUGCAAGCUCUCCUGGAAAUAUGCUUCAACCAUCCCAGGACAAAUUACUGGGAGGCAAGUCAGGACCAAAUUCUGAGAGAUGUUUCUCAAAAUGACUCCAAUGGGAGUUUUUCAUGUGAAGAGAUUGUAUCAUCAAACCAUGGAAUAAGUUGUGCCUUUUCUGAGUACUCUACAAAUGAUCAGGUAUCAGAUGAAUCAUGCUAAACAGGCUAGUUUUCUUACCUAAAAAUGAAUUCAACACUAAAAGUGAGCCUCCAUAUUGUGCUUCCAUCUACCUGUAAUGUGUGCACUUAUAUAUACAAAUAUCCAUAGCCUCACAAAUCUCCUGUAGGAUAUAGGAAAAUCAGAAGAAUCUCCAA
ensembl:lncRNA